GGAAUAUUGGACAAUGGGCGCAAGCCUGAUCCAGCCAUGCCGCGUGUGUGAAGAAGGCCUUCGGGUUGUAAAGCACUUUCAGCGGGGAGGAAGGGUGUUGUGUUAAUAGCACAGCAUUUUGACGUUACCCGCAGAAGAAGCACCGGCUCACUCCGUGCCAUCAGCCGCGGUAAUACUGAGGGUGCAAGCGUUAAUCGGAAUUACUGGGCGUAAAGCGCACGUAGGCGGUAUGUUAAGUUGGAUGUGAAAGCCCCGGGCUCAACCUGGGAAUUGCAUUCAAAACUGGCAUGCUAGAGUAUGUGAGAGGGGGGUAGAAUUCCAAGUGUAGCGGUGAAAUGCGUAGAGAUGUGGAAGAACACCGAUGGCGAAGGCAGCCCCCUGGGAUAAGACUGACGCUCAUGUACGAAAGCGUGGGGAGCAAAC
rnacentral:rRNA from 1 species